UGCGUCUGUCACAUCUUUGUUCUGCCAUAAAUGAAGAUUCAAAGAACAAACUGAUUACAUCUUAAAUCAAGAGAAAUGACCAAUUAUAAGCAACGGGGAAAAACUAAAGAAUUUGGUUGGCUUUUUUUUUUUUUUUGGGGUUUAGUUUGGGGGGAGGAGGAGGGAGGGCAGGCGGGGGAGAAUCAAGUUUCAGAGAAAAUCUUCCCAAAUAAAAUAUUAACCAUGUGAACCCCUUCCAUAAGCUCCUACAAUCUGAUAAAAUUAAAAAGCCUCUAAAUCCUCCACAACUAAUCUUCCACAGCAAACUCUCUCCUAAUGCCACAUGGGAGGGCACAACAUUGUAGCAAUCAGCAAAUCAGUCCACUUUUUCAUGAUUUUGUGCACACAAUGUAUGCUGACCUAGUCCACUACCUAUGUUAAAAGGAAUCAUCACACCUCCCUGUAAUCAUGAAAAUGGCUAUUUGGGUAUAAUCCCCAAAAAUAUGCAGAAACUACGUACAACAUAUCAAGAAUAUUUAAAAUUGGAAGUAGAUUUGUGUCCGGCACUUCCACACAUGCACAAACAACGUAGCAUAUGUACAAGGUUCAAACAUGAUAAAGAACCGAGUUCUAGUUUUAAAGCAACAAAACUUGUGUCACACAACAAAAAUUCAACCAAAAAUGCAGUAUAUAAAAUACAUAUUUACCAUAUAGUUGAGUAGCAAUCUAUACUCUUAUGAUUAUAAAUGCACAGAUUGCUACUCAAUUGCAUUACAAGUACACUUGUAAUUGUAAAUAAACAACUUGCUCAAAAAGGUAUUUGGGCCAGAGUUGAUUGAACACACACCAACAGUAAAUAGAUUGGUGUCAAGUAACAACCACAGCCAUUUAUGAUAUAGGCAACAGGGAAAGGAGGAAAUCAAUAUUGCACUGAUCACCUCGGCAAAGUUGCCUUUCUACUAGUACACAAAAGCCCCAUACUAAUUUCCCUCAAGCUAGGCCCUAAGGAGACAUUUUCAACUCAAUCAUAAAUUAAUUGAUAGUGAAGUUACUUUUUGCCUUCCUAACCAAAACCUAAGAAUAAUCCAACCCUGUCAUUUACCAAAACAUAGAAACAAUGAAAAGAAGAGUUGGCACGUUGCCCUAUCACAGUAACUAUGACAAAAAGCCUCACAUGAAAUUUGGCUUUAAAAAGUAAUCAUUAUUUAGGGAAAUUAUAACUUGCCAAGAAUCUACAGUAAUUCUAAAAGCUUUUAAAAAUGAGCAGCAAUUACAAUUAAAAAGUGAAAACAACUAAUUACUGUUCUUGGGGCAACCAAACCGAACCGAAGAACCAUACCGAACUGAAUUUA
rnacentral:misc_RNA from 1 species